AAUGAACGCUGGUGGCAGACCUAACACAUGCAAGUCGAACGGUCUAUAUUAAACUUCGGUUUUUUAUAGAUAGUGGCAAACGGGUGAGUAAAGCAUGGGAAUCUACCUAGAAGUUUGGAAUAGCUAUUAGAAAUGAUAGAUAAUACCAAAUACACCUCGAGAGGGAAAGUUGACUUCGGUCUUCGCUUUUAGAUGAGCCCAUGUUAAAUUAGUUAGUUGGUAGGGUAAUGGCCUACCAAGAUGAUGAUUUAUAGCUGGUCUUAGAGGAUGAUCAGCCACACUGGAAUUGAGAUACGGUCCAGACUCCUACGGGAGGCAGCAGUGGGGAAUAUUGCACAAUGGGGGCAACCCUGACGCAGCAAUGCCGCGUGAGUGAAGAAGGCUUUUGGGUCGUAAAGCUCUUUGUCUAAGGGAAGAUAGUGACGGUACCUUAGGAAUAAGCACCGGCUAACUCCGUGCCAGCAGCCGCGGUAAU
rnacentral:rRNA from 1 species